GAUGAACGCUGGCGGCGUGCCUAAUACAUGCAAGUCGAGCGAACAGACGAGGAGCUUGCUCCUCUGACGUUAGCGGCGGACGGGUGAGUAACACGUGGAUAACCUACCUAUAAGACUGGGAUAACUUCGGGAAACCGGAUCUAAUACCGGAUAAUAUAUUGAACCGCAUGGUUCAAUAGUGAAAGACGGUUUUGCUGUCACUUAUAGAUGGAUCCGCGCCGCAUUAGCUAGUUGGUAAGGUAACGGCUUACCAAGGCAACGAUGCGUAGCCGACCUGAGAGGGUGAUCGGCCACACUGGAACUGAGACACGGUCCAGACUCCUACGGGAGGCAGCAGUAGGGAAUCUUCCGCAAUGGGCGAAAGCCUGACGGAGCAACGCCGCGUGAGUGAUGAAGGUCUUCGGAUCGUAAAACUCUGUUAUUAGGGAAGAACAAAUGUGUAAGUAACUAUGCACGUCUUGACGGUACCUAAUCAGGAAGCCACGGCUAACUACGUG
rnacentral:rRNA from 1 species